CUCAAAGAAUGAAGCUUUUAUUUUGGCUCCCUGUUCGAGGGAACACAGUCCGUGGUGCUGGCGCAGACUCGGCAGCAGGAGUGUGAGGCAACGGGACACAGUGCCUCCAAAAUGAGCAAGCACAGAGGGAAGAAUACGGGACCAGCUCACCAUAGCUUUUGCACUCUGUAUCCCAUCCAAUGGAAUGGUUCCAACACACAUUUAGGGUGGCUCUUCCCUUCACAAUCUACAAACUUCCCUCCCAGAUAUACCCAGAAAAUUGUCUCCAAGGUGGUUCUAGAUACUAUCAGGUGUCAGUCAAUAUUAGCCAUGAACCAUCAGAGAGAGGGAGACAACUCAGGCACUGCCUCUGUCCUCUCGGUGAUCCACCAUGGCCCCUCUAGCCCUCCAUGCAUCUCUGUGGCCCCAAGGCCCCGCCUUCUUCACUCCCUCACUCUGUAGAUGCUUCAGCUGCAUAAUUGAGUCCCAGACCAGGAAGAACCUUAGCAGAUAUUGUCUAACAUCUCCUUACUUCAUAAAGAA
rnacentral:lncRNA from 1 species